rnacentral:rRNA from 1 species
UACGAAGGGGGCUAGCGUUGCUCGGAAUCACUGGGCGUAAAGGGUGCGUAGGCGGGUUUUUAAGUCAGAGGUGAAAUCCUGGAGCUCAACUCCAGAACUGCCUUUGAUACUGAAAGUCUUGAGUAUGGGAGAGGUGAGUGGAACUGCGAGUGUAGAGGUGAAAUUCGUAGAUAUUCGCAAGAACACCAGUGGCGAAGGCGACUCUUUGGUCUGUAACUGACGCUGAGGCGCGAAAGCGUGGGGAGCAAACAGGG